UACGGAGGGUGCAAGCGUUAUCCGGAUUCAUUGGGUUUAAAGGGUCCGCAGGCGGGCUUGUAAGUCAGGGGUGAAAGCCGGCAGCUUAACUGUCGAACUGCCUUUGAUACUGCAAGUCUUGAGUGAGAUUGAAGUAGCUGGAAUGUGUAGUGUAGCGGUGAAAUGCUUAGAUAUUACACGGAACACCGAUAGCGAAGGCAGGUUACUAAGUCUUAACUGACGCUGAGGGACGAAAGCGUGGGGAGCGAACAGG
rnacentral:rRNA from 3 species